AUUUGAAAUCUGGCAGUCUUCGAUUGUCCGAGUUGUAAUCUAUAGAAGCGUUUUCCGUGCUGAACUGUGUAUAAGUCCCUUGGAACAGGGUAUCAAAGAGGGUGACAAUCCCGUACUUUACACAAUCAUCAGUGCUCUGUGAUACGUUCUCUACGAGUCGAGUUGUUUGGGAAUGCAGCUCAAAAUGGGUGGUAAAUUCCAUCUAAAGCUAAAUAUUGGCGAGAGACCGAUAGCGAACAAGUACCGUGAGGGAAAGAUGAAAAGCACUUUGGAAAGAGAGUUAAACAGUACGUGAAAUUGUUGAAAGGGAAACGAAAUUCAUGAAUCAUGUUUAUUGGACUCAGCCGUUCUUCGGUGUACUUCCUUUAAACGGGUCAACAUCAGUUUUGUCCGAUGGAUAAAGGUAGUAGGAAGGUGGCUCUCUCGGGAGUGUUAUAGCCUAUUGCUGCAUACAUUGGAUGAGACUGAGGACUGCAGCUUGCCUUUAUGGCCGGGGUUCGCCCACGUUCAAGCUUAGGAUGUUGACAUAUUCUCGAAUCACGA
rnacentral:rRNA from 1 species